GCAUUAAUGGGUUAGUGGUAACCUGGGUCGUUGCCAUUAAGAAACUCGUCUAUAAUGUUGUCGACCCGCCGGGGGUUCGAUUCCCCCUUAAUGCA